GGGUCAGUGGGUUGGUCGUGCCACCGGUACGUACUGGUCUCACUGACUCCUCCUUCCUGAAGAACCGUAAUGCCAUUAAUUUGGUGUUGCGGGGAAACAGGACUGUUACUUUGAAAAAAUUAGAGUGUUUAAAGCAAGCUAACGCUUGAAUACAUUAGCAUGGAAUAAUGAAAUAGGACGAUCGAUCCUAUUUUGUUGGUUUCUAGGAUUGACGUA
rnacentral:rRNA from 1 species